rnacentral:misc_RNA from 1 species
AACCUAGCACACCUGCGGUGUGUACCUGCGGAAGGAUCAUUACCUAGAGUUGCGGGCUUUGCCUGCCAUCUCUUACCCAUGUCUUUUGAGUACCUUCGUUUCCUCGGCGGGUUCGCCCGCCGGUUGGACAACACUUAAACCCUUUGUAAUUGAAAUCAGCGUCUGAAAAAACUUUAAUAGUUACAACUUUUAGCAACGGAUCU